rnacentral:rRNA from 1 species
AGUGAACGCUGGCGGUAGGCCUAACACAUGCAAGUCGAACGGCAGCACAGAGGAGCUUGCUCCUUGGGUGGCGAGUGGCGGACGGGUGAGGAAUACAUCGGAAUCCACUCUGUCGUGGGGGAUAACGUGGGGAAACUUACGCUAAUACCGCAUACGACCUACGGGUGAAAGCAGGGGAUCUUCGGACCUUGCGCGAUUGAAUGAGCCGAUGUCGGAUUAGCUAGUUGGCGGGGUAAAGGCCCACCAAGGCGACGAUCCGUAGCUGGUCUGAGAGGAUGAUCAGCCACACUGGAACUGAGACACGGUCCAGACUCCUACGGGAGGCAGCAGUGGGGAAUAUUGGACAAUGGGCGCAAGCCUGAUCCAGCCAUACCGCGUGGGUGAAGAAGGCCUUCGGGUUGUAAAGCCCUUUUGUUGGGAAAGAAAUCCAUCUGGUUAAUACCCGGGUGGGAUGACGGUACCCAAAGAAUAAGCACCGGCUAACUUCGUGCCAGCCGCCGCGGUAA